ACUGCGCCUUGCUGAAAAUGUGUAAUUUUAAAUGGUCUAAGAGCCACAUUAAGAAAGAAAAAGCAGGUAAAAUUAAUUUAAACAAUGUAUUUUAUUUAAAUUCAUAUCAAAAUUAUGAUUUCAACAUGUAAUCAAUAUUAAAAAUUAUUACUGGUAUUUUACAUUCUGUUUCAUACCAAGUCUUCAGAAUCCAGUGCGUACUUUACGCUUAGAACACAUCUUGAUUCCAACUAGCUACACUUCAAGGGCUCAACAGCCACAUAGGGCUCAGGACUAGUAUAUAAGAGACAGUUCAGGGCCAGUUAUUGGGUUCAAGCUUUUUAGCCCUAGACCCUUGGCUCAACUAUGAAUAGAAUGGGCAAAGCCUUCCUUUCUCUUCUUGUGCAUGCUUUCAACACACUCAGUCUUAGUGAUAAGAGACAGUCAUUCAGUACAUGGCAGUUUUCUGCCAUUUUAUUAGAUGCUUUGCAUAAUUAAAUGAGAGAAGAUAAUCUAAGUAAUCACCUAAUGAAAUCUAUUGUAGAAAUUCAAAAUCCCUUUUAAAAGUUAACCUGCAAUAUUAAAAACUCAGAAAUAUUAAUAAGAGUAUUCUAUGUAGGAGGCUUUUGAAAAACUCAUAGUUCUAUAGGAAAAUUAAGAUAAUUAAUAGACAAACAUAUCAUUUUUUUAGCUUAUUCUUUUGAUUUUUAGACUUAGAAAACAAAACAAGACAUACAGGCAUGUGUGUUGAGAUACAUACACCAGCUCAUCUGUUCACAGGUCAGUUUCAGGUGCUGAGCUGUUACUCUGCCCCAGUCUAACCAACUGCUACUCAAUUAUUAUUCCUAGGAAAAUUCCUGUCCCUGGAUAACAAGAGCAACCAUUUCCACAGUGCUUCAGGGAUUCGGUUUUUAGCCACAAAGCCAGGCAUUCAACCCAGCAACCUGAGCUACCACCUUAGCUGAAGAACAGCCACUGUGGAGUUCUUGCUGGCUGCAGCCUGUGUGCUCGCUCACACAUGGGCACAGUUCUGAGAUGAGUAUGCAAUUACCUUCUUUGCUGACAGCUCUGACAGAUAAAGGUCAUCCUCUACCACUUGCCAAAUUCAGGAAUCCCAGAACAACCUGAUUCAGAAGAAUGUGAAAGAGAGAAGGGAGUUUCAAGUCCUACCUACACAGUUCAAAAGCACAAAACCUUACCUGCUGCACUGCAGGAGGCAGAAGUGAGAGGCAAGAAGUAGGUAGGCAUAGAAAGAGAAUCUAGGAGAUGCUUUCCUUCUCUUGCGAAAGCCUGGAGGGGACCCAAAUUCCUUUAUUCUGCUUGGGCUUGGCUUGGCCCUUCUUCUCCCUACCCCCAUCUUUUCAGAAUCACCAGCUGCUGUGGUUUCUCCUUCCCUUUUAUCUUCAAAUUUCCUCCUUCCUGAACUACCAUGUUCCUAUCUUUGUGUUAAAGAUUCAUCAGAUGCUAAAGUCCACAGCUGCUAAAAAACAAAUAAACACAGCACACAAAUCAGGAUUUGAAUUACACAUUUAUUGUGAACAAUCAUUUGUUAGCCUAAAUGAGACCCUACACUGAUCGUAUCCAAUUACACAAAAGACUGCUGGUCAAAACACAUGCGCUGAAACCAACUCACCUACCUUAGCAGAAGUACUGGGAAUCUGACAGACCUGGGUUCCAAUCAUGCCUGCACCACUUACCUCCUGCCAAGGUAGGUGAUGCUUAUCCCUCAGACACUUGCUUUGCUCACCUGUAAAAGGGUCCAGGUGGCUUACUGCCCAGUUUCAUGCCUCCCUGGCCCCUACACCUCACCCUCUGUUCAAGCCAUAGUGAUUUUUCUCCUACUGACAGUUUAUUAAGGUACAAUUUGUUUAGAGUUUAUAAAGAAAUCAUAAGCAUAUGGUUUUUUAAACACUAAUAUUACUAUUCAUAAUAAUAGCUGACAUUUAAGCUCACCUUAUGGCCCAGGUACCCCAGGUGCAUUAUCUCCUGUAUUUCUGUCAAUUCCCUACGAUUUUACAGGUAAGAAAAGUGGUGAGAGAGGGGAUGUGAUUUGCCUUCCAAUGUCUACAGAGUGGCAAAUCUGGGACUCAAACCAAGUGUUCCUGACUCCAAGGUGUGGGAUGCUACCUCAGCUCCAUGGCACGGCCCCACCUGCAGUCUGGCUUGUGCCUAGUCACCCCUCAGGUCAUGGCAAAGACGGCACUUCUCCUAGGAAGCCUCCCUCCUCACCUAGGCUCAGUUCUCUGGUACUCUCCCAUCACUGUAUCUGUUAACUACCUGGUUUACUAAACUGAGUUAUAAACUCCACAAGAGCAGGGAUCAUCAUGUCUGCCAACCACAACUGUAACAAAUGUUUGUUGACUGAAUACAUGAGGGAAGCCUAAUUCAGAGGUGGCUGUGAGGAUUAAAUGAAAUCUAUGGGAAGCAGGAGUAAGCAGGAAGGCUAGCGAGCCCCUCACAGCUUAUAAGUACAGUGCUAGCUGUGUGAGACGAACAAGCAAAGGAAGAAGCUGACGCCCUAAUAAGUGCAAGGAGCUGUAGAGGUUACUUAGAAGACUUGGUCACUCUUCUAAAAAAGAAAAACCAAGGUAAAAAUGCACAAAAUAGCACAGAACAAGAAAAUAACCCCAGAAACCAAAGAUUUUCAGGACAGAAAUCGGAUGGGCUAAGUCUUAUCUAGAGCAGAGAGGGGUAUUGUGACUGGAGCCCAUGUUUCCUGCCCCCUAUCUAAGGCUCUUUCCAGAACACUACAGGCUUUGACAGGAAAUCUUGAGAGGAUCACAGGAGUUGCUACUUGACCCCACUGUCAGGAACCAGGUUGCAGACUGGCCUUAGGGAGGCUCAGGACAAGAGGCUGAGGCACAACUUUCCUCCAAGCCUCCCUAAUUCUGCCCCUUCACACUCCUACUGACCUGAAACCAGGUUGCUCUUGCAGAAAGCAAUUUCCCGGUGCAAACCUAAUCACCUUUUGAUACCAUUAAUCAGCCAUUUCCCCCCACCCAGGAUCUGACCAAGUCCCUGGAUUAAGCUGCAAAUGAAAUUUCCAGAUUUCAGCAAUUGUCGAAUCUUGAGAGAAGCAGCAACUCCAAGGUCUUCAUCCUGUUCUCCAUAUAGUGCCCAACUAUCCACUGCUCAGCUGUUCUAAAAUUCUUAAGCCUGAAUUUCUUACCAGGUAAAGUAUUCAUCCAACCUUGUUAUGAGACAUGGGAAUGGGUAUAGAGAGAUAUGGCAUAUAGAUAGCAACAUUCCAUUUCAACAGCUCAACCGAAAACUCUGAGAUGCUCUCAACCCACACUAAAGUGACUCAGACAAGCUUUGUUUCUUUCUGAAGCUAGAGCUGUUAAAAUGGACACAGUGCACCCCGCUGGGGACAAUGACCCAGUCAGCCAGGCUGCAGCUGUCUGGCCCACAGACUGGUCCUGUGAUGGCAUUUGUAAAAGGUCAGGGGUUUCUCUCAAUUCUCUGCUGGAUUUAGAAGCCACGUAUGGCUGAAAGUACAAAACCACAAUCUAUAAAGGGGCCAUUUAAUAUUUUAAAAGAUUAAAAGCUACAAUUAACCUUUUGCAAAAUAAUAAAGUCUGGAAGAACUACUACCGUGCUUUCAGUUACAGUGCCAAUCAGAAGUUCAAGGCCAAUGCUCUAUUGCUCAGCUUGAUACUGAGCUGACCAGAGAAAAGUGCCAGCCCUAUAGCCCGAGGAAGUGAUGAGAAUUCAGGCACUGUGUGCCUGGCUGACAGCAGUAACAAUGCAGCAUGUUUUCACCCUGCUGACAUGUGGCUGUGCUGGCAUUUCAGUCCACCUGUCAUUCAGAUCCCUGUAUCAUUGCUUCAUCAAGUGUAUCAGGGAAGGAGCAAAUCCUACACAAGAAUAGAGCCAGGGCCUGAGGCCCCUCCUGUUGAAAAUCAUCUCUGAAGCACAUAAAAAGUGUCUUCUGCAACCCAUUUGAACACCACUGAAAGAAGCAAUGGAAUGAAAACAGUGAGUCAACAACUAUGGCCUGGGCACCCACAAAAAAACACGCUCAUGCCCUAGAACCAUCUUGCUGGCAAACUCAUCUUUGGAGUACAGCAAACCUCUUCUUAACGGCUAAUUAUUGAACAAUAAUUACAAUAAGAAUCUUCGAUGUUUUUGCUACUUUUCUUACAGAGUUCAGAAGGUAUUUUCAGGAUGCUAAAAACUGUACUUAUAUAUAGGUAACCAGAAUUACAAUUCAGCCAUGCCAUAAGUUAAUGAAUUGAGUGAAAAACUGGCAAAAUGUUGACAAUUGUUGAAACUGGGUGUCAGGCACAUGGGGGGUUCAUUUUACUAUUGCCUCUACUUUUGUCUGUAUUUAAUAUUUUCAUCAAUAAAUAGUUUAAAAAUGAAAGUUCAAAAAAGUCAUUUUGGGACUACCUGACAUCCUUAACCAUAUUGUUCCUAUGGAAUUCAGGAAGCAC
rnacentral:lncRNA from 10 species